CUUUCCGGAGCUCUCUGUGAUCCAACGUCUGAUGGAUUAUCAGAAAACAAAACCCACCGAACUCUAAUUCAUAUUUCAAACUGAUACAACCCGAUUCCCUCAGAUUCGGCUUCCGCCCUGUCGUCCUCGUCUCUUCCCCUUUCAUAAUCGAGGAAUGCUUCACCACAAACGAGAACAAGACAAGAAGAAAAAAGGAAGAAGAACGGACAUAUGGUUUGGUUAUUCAGAGACAACAAUGAUGAAGAGGUACUACUUGCCCACUGCCACUACACACAAGCAGAGGUCGAUGGAUGCAUUUUCAAUCUGAAUGAUGAAUGCUUAUGUUAAAGAGAGGUUUUGUUUCUUGUACCUUUUCAUUUGCCAAGAUAUAUAUAAUGUCGAGGCUUAUUUGAUGUGUGAGGGAUUCAAAAA